rnacentral:rRNA from 1 species
AGAGCGAACGCUGGCGGCAGGCCUAACACAUGCAAGUCGAGCGCCCCGCAAGGGGAGCGGCAGACGGGAGAGUAACACGUGGGAACGUACCCUUUGGUUCGGAACAACACAGGGAAACUUGUGCUAAUACCGGAUAAGCCCUUACGGGGAAAGAUUUAUUGCCAAAGGAUCGGCCCGCGUCUGAUUAGCUUGUUGGUGAGGUAACGGCUCACCAAGGCUACGAUCAGUAGCUGGUCUGAGAGGAUGAUCAGCCUCACUGGGACUGAGACACGGCCCAGACUCCUACGGGAGGCAGCAGUGGGGAAUAUUGGACAAUGGGCGCAAGCCUGAUCCAGCCAUGCCGCGUGGAUGAUGAAGGCCCUAGGGUUGUAAAGUUCUUUAUUUGGGAGCAAAGCUAAUGUGUGAAUAGCAUAUUAGUAUGAGAGUACCAAGGAAUAAGCACGGCUAACUACGUGCCAGCAGCC